CAAAAGAAAAAAAAUAAAAGAAAAGGGAUAGCUCUCUCCUUUAGCCCUCCCACUACUUCCAGACUUCUUGUUACCCUCGACUCCAUGAGAGAAACUUCCAGACUUAGAAACUUAAAAUUUUCCUCAAAGUUUCCAAGAUUCACUCAAUCCAAAAUUUCUCAAAUCAAAAAUUCAAGAGUACCUUCGGUCCAAAUCUAGAAGGUUUUAGUUUUCGGCCUCUUCUCCGGCGAACAUCUUUCAAUGGUGGCUUUUACUUCUUGUCAAAACUUAAGUUGUGGCUGAAUUAUCAAGUGUGAGUAUUUCUUUUAUAUUAGCAAUUAUUUUCUUUUUAAGGUUUAUCAAUUGUGUAUUUGGGGUUUUGAAUAGGAAUUUGAUAUGUUGGUUUAUCAAUUGUGUAUUUGGGGUUUUGAAUAGGAAUUUGAUAGGUUGGUUUAUCAAUUAGUGAUCCUUGAUGUUGAGGAUUUAUCUAGGUUUCUGAAUUUUUGUUUUAGGAAUUAAGAAUUAGGUUUAUGAAUGUUUCUUUUAGGAAUUAGGUUUCUGAAUUUUUCUUUCAGGAAUCAUUCUUUAACUCUCCAUCUCAAUCUAGGUUUUGGAAUGUCGUGGAAAGCAUCAAAAUGAAUAUGAUUAUUUUGAUUUUUUAAGAAUUUUGUUAAUUCAAGUUAAUUUCUUUUUAUUUCUCUGCUCUAUUUUCCCCAAUUCAAUUUUUUUUGGAAUCAAUUCCCCAAACUUAUACUCUGCUUUGGAAAUUUAGGGUUUUUGGUUGAAUCGAAUUUCGAAAUUAAGAUUCAAACUUUGUAAUUUAAGUGGAAUUUGGCAUUUAGGGUUAGCCUUGAAAUAUAUCUUUCGCCAAUUUUAACUGUGAUUUGUUUUUAAGGUUGGUUCGAUUUGAAUGUCGUUGAUAUUUAUGGAACCAAAUUCAAUAAUCAAAUUAUAAAAUUUACUAUUUCAUCUUUUGUAACAUGUACUUUGAUAUUUACUUUCCUGUAUCCAUUUAACUUUUCUUGCCAUAUCUCCAUCUCAUUAGUGUGUGUUGUGGAUUGCAAGGAAGCCUGAUCCCUAUCACUUCCUAUUUACGUAUGCGCCCUGUAUUUUCUACCCAGGGCGUAACGACUGUUACUGGCUCAGGUGUGAAGAGAGUCCUCUGACUCUUAUGCCACGUAUUCUGAUAUUACCUUGGCGUAAUUCAACAAGACUAAUGUAUGUGUAAUUGCAUUACACUAUCUUAAUUCCUUUGGAAAUAAUCAUAAUGUUUUGAAAAUAAUGUCUGGAUUUGAUGAUAGUGCAGAACGCAUACUAUAAGUUUGAGAAUUAUGUUGACAUGACCCAUUCUAAUCACAAACACAAUCAAGCAGUUCAUUGCAACUUCGCUGCUAAGUCUGAAACAACACCUUUCAAGCCUAGGGAUUUUUCCAGCAAGCUCUUCUUCGCGGAACUAAUGCCAUGUUAUUUGAUUCUUUGAUUGACAGUUAUUUAUUUUGGGUAAGAAGUGUACGUUUGGGUUAUCUACUGUGUGAAAUAUUCAGUGGUCUAAUUUAGAGAAAGUAAUUUGACGUUUGAAUUUUACUUGUUCUGCAAGUUUUCUGAAGGUAUGAUUCUCUCUCUGUAAAGAUUGUCCAUAUGUACUUCUGUUCAUGUUGCAGCUAGAUUUUCGGUAGAUAGAAUCAUGACAGUAUUAUUUUGCGGGGCAUUAUAGUAGAAUCAGAGAAUUAGGUGUUUGAAAGUUGAAAUUUGAAAUGCAGUACGAGAAGCAUAACUUUGAAUUGGUUGGACUGGUUAUUUAACUCGGUUGCUUGCUUGGUUAGAAAACAAAUUACUAUUGUUUCCGGAGUUUUAUCCACAAGCCGUUCAUUGCAACUUCACUGCUAAGCCUGAAACAACACCUUUCAAGCCUGGUUUUUUUUUCCAGCAAGCCCUUCUUCGCGGAACUAAUGCCAGUUCAUCAUCCUGAUAUCUUUUCCUUGACUGAUUGGAGUAUGGUAGAUGGUAAGGGCGUAAGGCUUCGAUUACUAUUUCUCUCGUAUAACUUGAAGGCUGACUUUCCAAAACCCAGAAGUGAGCUUAAUGUAUGUAUUGUUGUUUUCUUUUCCCUUUGAAAUGCUUUCUUAUUUAUCUGAUUUUGUAUUCAUGACUUCUGUUACAUUAUCUUAACCUCAUUGUCCUGUAAAUUGUAUGUUCACAAAAAUAUUACCUGACUUCUUUUAAGUUCACAUUCUUUUUAAGGUUAUAACAUACGACAUGUGUGUCCUAGGGAAGCAAGACUUUAAGCACCUUUGUAGUAAGUGGAAUUCAUUUAAUCUUGUUCCAUUUUUUAAGAUUCAUGAUUUGUCUUGCUUCUAAUUGUGGUGAUUUUCUUUCAAGUCGAAUAAACUGUUAAGAGUGGAUGACUGUAUGUUUGUUGAGAAAAUGAGUGAUAUGAUUCCUUUCAUACUUUAUUGUUUUGCAUAGUUCCUUUCUGCUCUUUGAAGGUGAAAAUGAAAUGCGCAAGAAGAUUAUAAUUUUCAGCGGGUAUUUGCAGAUAGAGAGUGCUCUCGCCAAAAAUUGGCAUUGGUUGUGGAUAUUAUGACUCUAGAUUCAUGAACGACGAUCAUCGACCACAAGUCCACAAGCAUACCUAUAUUCAAGAAGGUGUAUAUUUCAAGUAGUGGCCGAGUAAUCAAGAAAUCAAUGAAGUGGGAACUUAGUGCGUCGUCUUGUCAUGUUUCUUUUGUGUUAUGUAUGUAUUAUAUAUUUUUUCCAAUGUACAAGAAUGGAUAUUAUGCAUGGUCAAAAGUUAUGAGAUGCUUAUUGGAUACAAUUGAGAAAUGAAAGGGCUUUGUUGUUGUCAUUUUAA